UACGGAGGGUGCGAGCGUUAUCCGGAUUCACUGGGUUUAAAGGGUGCGUAGGUGGGAAUGUAAGUCAGUGGUGAAAUCUCUGAGCUUAACUCAGAAACUGCCAUUGAUACUAUGUUUCUUGAAUUUUUCUGGAGGUUAGCGGAAUAUGUCAUGUAGCGGUGAAAAUGCUUAGAUAUGACAUAGAACACCAAUUGCGAAGGCAGCUAACUACAGGGGAUAUUUUGACACUGAGGCUCGAAAAGCGUGGGGAGCAAACAGG
rnacentral:rRNA from 1 species